rnacentral:lncRNA from 1 species
AUACUUUUCGCCGGAGUACUUCUGAAUGUCUGUUUGCACUCAAAUUUGACAGUCAGGCUCGAUUAAAAUUAAUAAGAAGAACAAAAUCUUAACUUUUCAAUUUUGAACCAUUUUUUCUCACCGAAAAGUCUGCCGACUAGAAUCUCUAGCAGAUAGCAGUCAGAUUUUAUUUUUCACUUUUCGGGUGUCGGAAUGACAUAAAACUUUAAAUCUAACCUUAGAAAAUAAUUCCGACAUAUUCUCAAAUUUUCAUAAUUUUUUGACACUGAAAAUUUUCUGCUAAAAGAUUAGCCCCGCUUCUUACAGAAAAUUCUAAAUCUUCUGUUUCCAUUCCAAUUUCAGCAUAAGUCAUUUUCGACUUAUAUUUUACUUCUUUAAGUCCAAUAAAAAUAGUAUCUUACACUAUUUUUAUUUAUAUUUACUUUUAUAUUAAAAAUUCGGUACAUUACACUACCCGCAGAAAAACUUCAGAGUCUGCCUAUUUCCGUGUGGAAGUGGAAGAAGAUUGUUAAAUCUUAUGUGUUGGCAAGUUUCGUGAAGUGAGUCGGAGUCUUGAAGGAUCGGUGCGUAUCGUUGAAGAUCGAAGAAU